CACUCCGAUGGCUUAGUGGUUAGAGCAUCCGCCUCGGAUGCGGGAGGUCGUGGGUUCAAUCCCAAGUCGAGUCA